rnacentral:miRNA from 1 species
AGCAUCAGCAUCAUCAUCAUCAUCAUCAUCAUCAUCAUCAUUAUCAUUAUUAUUUUGUUGUGGAUGUGUGGAUGAGUGGAAGCGAUGUUA